rnacentral:misc_RNA from 1 species
GAUGAAGAACGUAGCGAAAUGCGAUAAGUAAUGUGAAUUGCAGAAUUCAGUGAAUCAUCGAAUCUUUGAACGCACAUUGCGCCCCUUGGUAUUCCGGGGGGCAUGCCUGUUCGAGCGUCAUUUCACCACUCAAGCCUCGCUUGGUAUUGGGCAACGCGGUCCGCCGCGUGCCUCAAAUCGACCGGCUGGGUCUUCUGUCCCCUAAGCGUUGUGGAAACUAUUCGCUAAAGGGUGUUCGGGAGGCUACGCCGUAAAACAACCCCAUUUCUAAGGUUGACCUCGGAUCAGGUAGGGAUACCCGCUGAACUUAAGCAUAUCAAUAGCGGAGGA